GCUUUUCAAUGGCUUAUAGCGGUGAUGCUUGUGUGUUCGCGGCAUUCGUACUGCCCCAGUUCGAGGGGCAGGGUCUGGGUCGCUGCCUUAUGGAACGCGC
rnacentral:tRNA from 1 species